GACCUAGUAGCGGAUGGAUCGCACCUGCUUUAAGUGAAGAAGAGCUUGAGAUCUUAGGUAGGAGUUCCUGGUUCGACUCCAGGCUAGGUCA